UACGUAGGGUGCAAGCGUUGUCCGGAAUUAUUGGGCGUAAAGAGCUCGUAGGCGGCUUGUCACGUCGACUGUGAAAACCCGGGGCUCAACUCCGGGCCUGCAGUCGAUACGGGCUGGCUUGAGUGCGGUAGGGGAGACUGGAAUUCCUGGUGUAGCGGUGAAAUGCGCAGAUAUCAGGAGGAACACCGGUGGCGAAGGCGGGUCUCUGGGCCGUAACUGACGCUGAGAAGCGAAAGCAUGGGGAGCGAACAGG
rnacentral:rRNA from 1 species